UGGGGAAUAUUGCACAAUGGGCGCAAGCCUGAUGCAGCAACGCCGCGUGAACGAAGAAGGUCUUCGGAUUGUAAAGUUCUGUCCUUAGGGAAGAAGAAAGUGACGGUACCUAAGGGGAAGCCCGGCUAACUACGUGCCAGCAGCCGCGGUAAUACGUAGGGGGCAAGCGGUUAUCCGGAAUGAUUGGGCGUAAAGAGUACGUAGGUGGUUUUGUAAGCGCGGGGUGAAAGGCAGUGGCUUAACCAUUGUAACCUUGGAACUGCGAGACUUGAGUGCAGGAGAGGAAAGCGGAAUUCCUAGUGUAGCGGUGAAAUGCUUAGAUAUUAGGAGGAACACCAGUGGCGAAGGCGGCUUUUUCUGGACUGUAACUG
rnacentral:rRNA from 2 species